UUUCACGUGUUAAAUCUGAUUUUAGAUUCUUGUUUCCUGUUCACCAGAUACAUCAUGUUUCCAAGGGUUGUUUCUAUGUCCUGAAGCAGCAUCCUUGCUUCUCCAUAAUUUCUGCAUCUACCAUAUCAGCCCUCCAGGACAUGAGUUGGGCGCUGCUCCAAUAUGUUCUGAUGAUCCCUCCCCUUCAGUCGAAGAUCUUGCAGACCAGAUUCUUGAAGUUGUAAACUUUUUUGGUCUUGGUGCAGUAAUGUGCAUGGGGGUCACUGCAGGUGCUUACGUCCUUACCUUAUU